GAUGAACGCUGGCGGCGUGCCUAAUACAUGCAAGUCGAGCGAACAGACGAGGAGCUUGCUCCUCUGACGUUAGCGGCGGACGGGUGAGUAACACGUGGAUAACCUACCUAUAAGACUGGGAUAACUUCGGGAAACCGGAGCUAAUACCGGAUAAUAUAUUGAACCGCAUGGUUCAAUAGUGAAAGACGGUUUUGCCGUCACUUAUAGAUGGAUCCGCGCCGCAUUAGCUAGUUGGUAAGGUAACGGCUUACCAAGGCAACGAUGCGUAGCCGACCUGAGAGGGUGAUCGGCCACACUGGAACUGAGACACGGUGCAGACUCCUACGGGAGGCAGCAGUAGGGAAUCUUCCGCAAUGGGCGAAAGCCUGACGGAGCAACGCCGCGUGAGUGAUGAAGGUCUUCGGAUCGUAAAACUCUGUUAUUAGGGAAGAACAAAUGUGUAAGUAACUAUGCACGUCUUGACGGUACCUAAUCAGAAAGCCACGACUAACUACGUG
rnacentral:rRNA from 1 species